CUCUGAUCAACUGUAUGACGAUGACUUUGUAGCAGUGAAGGAUGCUGUUGAUGAGCUUGUUGGUUGCACAGUAGAUUGUCCUUACAAUGUCACAACUACACCCAUCGUGGAUAAAACUAAGGUGGAUGUGGGAUCUGUAUGUAAAAGGUCGGCGGAAGAUGAUGAUGUUGCUGACCACUACGAAAUUGUGCAUGUUGAUGGAGUUCUCACAUGUGUGACUGUAUGCGACAGUCUACAUUCACGUCCUAAAAGAUGCUUCAAUAAGGGAAUCUGCAGAGUGUACAGGUUCACUGGACCUC